GCGUAAUUACAUCGAUCGAAUCGGCUAAAUUGCACCCUACCCUAUCUUUAUCAACGAUUAAAAGGCAAAAAAACGCAUAAGAUAAACCGUCUACUUUCACCACCCUCGCGACCUUACCCUAAAUCGACCCGAACGAUACACAUUAUCGAUCUGUUUUAUCGAAGUCCAACAAUUUCGAGUUCGAGUAUAUAAACUGGUGACUGGCCCGGUCUCUUCCAACUACGGUUCAACGAAUGAUCGUGAUCAUGAAGGCCGGAUUCCUAUUUUUCGCGAGUCUCUGCUUGCUUGCCCAGGCAAUGCACCAGGUCAACAAGGUCGCCGACAAGACAUAUGUUACUAGACAGAAGAACAUCUACGAACUCUUCUGGCACGUGGACCAACCGACCGUUUACCAUCCAGAACUCUACCAGAAGGCGCGCACUUUCAAUAUCGUUGAAAAUCUCGACAAUUAUAAUGACAAAGAAGCGGUGAACGAGUUCAUGCAACUCUUGAAACAUGGAAUGCUUCCGCGUGGCCAAGUGUUCACGAUGAUGGACAAGGAAUGCACCACCAAGCCGUGGUGCUUUUCCGCGUUCUGCACAGCGCCAAGACAUUCGACGUGUUCUAUAACACAGCUGUCUGGGCCAGAUUCCAUGUAAACGAACAGAUGUACGUGUACGCGUUAAGCGUAGCCGUGAUCCACCGUCCUGACACCAGACUGAUGAAAUUGCCGCCAUUGUACGAGAUGAUGCCGCAUUUAUUCUUCAAUGAUGACGUUAUGCAGAGAGCUUACAACAUCGCCAUGGGUGACAUAGCUGGCGUGAAGAAGACUCUGAACGGCGUCGAUCAUUACUUGCUUCCGGCGAAUUACACCGGAUGGUACUUGACCAGACACAACGUACCCGAGCAGAGAUUAAACUACCUCACCGAGGAUGUUGGCCUCAACCAGUUCUACUUCAUGUUCAAUCACAAUUUCCCACCUUUCAUGCUUUCAAACUCGCUCAAUCUUCCACAAAUUCGUGGUGAAUUCUAUUUCUUCAUCCACAAACAACUGUUGAACAGAUACUACCUCGAGAGGCUUAGCAACGAUAUGGGUGAGGUUAGCUACGUGAACCUAAAUCGUCCCAUAUCGACUGGAUACUAUCCCACCAUGAAAUUCCGCAAUGGACUUUCCUUCCCUCAGAGAGAAACUGACGCUGUGGUUCCACUCCAUAUGCAGAAAUAUGUUAAAAUGAUCAAGGACCUCGACUUCAGGAUCUCAAUCGCCAUCGAUCUUGGCUAUGUCAUAGACGCACACGGCAACCACGUCAACUUAUACACGAAAGAAGGGCUGAACAUUCUUGGUAACAUCAUUCAAGGUAACGCGGACAGCGUUAACGUGCAAUUCUACGGACAAUUGGAUCCGCUCGUGAGAAAAGUCUUCGGUUUCGGUUACGAAUCCAACGUCAAGUAUCAAGUCGUCCCAUCCGCUCUUCAAAUGUGGUCUACCAGUUUGAGGGAUCCUGUAUUCUUCAGCAUCUACAAGACCAUCGUUGAUUAUUAUCACAAAUACAAGGAGAAUCUUCCGAAGUACACCAUGGAAGAAUUAAAUUUCCCAGGUGUAAGCAUCGAAUCCGUGUCCGUGGACAAACUCACCACUUACUUCGAUCAUUUCGAGUCCUUGUUGAACAAUGGAGUGUCGGUUCGUAGUCACACAGAAGCCAAGAACACCGUGAUCAAAGCUCGACAAUACAGGCUGAACCACAAACCUUUCACCUAUCACAUCACCGUGAACAGCGACAAGAAUACCAAAGGUGUAGUUCGUAUCUUCCUUGGACCGAAAUACGACGAGUUCGGCCAUGAAGUUGACCUCGUGCACAAUUACAUGAACUUCAUGCAGUUGGACGAGUUCGUGGUUAACCUGAAAAGCGGAAGCAACACAGUCGACAGAAGCAGCCACGAAUCCGUCUUCGUUGUCCCCGACGAUGUUCCCAGCGAUGUGCUGUACAAGAGGCUGGUGGCCAGCGAGGAAGGUAACGAGUCCUUCAAGUACUCUUCGCAGCCUUACGGCUUCCCCGACAGACUUCUCCUACCCAAGGGCAAGAAGGAAGGUAUGCCGUACAAUCUGCUCGUGGUCGUCACUCCGUUCGACGAGUCGAACGUCGUCCAAAUAGACUCCCCUGUAUGGGGUCGCAACGUUUACGACACGCAUCCUAUGGGCUUCCCUCUGGACAAACCUGUCGAUCCUUUGCUCCUCGUCCUGUCCAACAUCCACGUCACGGAGGUCCUCGUUCAUCAUAGGGAGAUGGAGGAGUUGAACGUUGCCCUGUAAACGUGUAGAAUUUAAUACGUAGAUUUGAUCUUUCUUCCUUACUUUUUUCUUUUUUAAAUUAUUUGCAAUUAGAGAGAAAAAAAAAAAUUCGUUUAAACGAGAAAGGAAGAGAGAUGUAGAGAGAAAAAAAGAGAUGUGAACGAAAUAAAAAGAUGUGAGAAUUA